rnacentral:rRNA from 1 species
GGAUGACUUGUGGCUGGGGGUGAAAGGCCAAUCAAACCGGGAGAUAGCUGGUUCUCCCCGAAAGCUAUUUAGGUAGCGCCUCGUGAAUUCAUCUCCGGGGGUAGAGCACUGUUUCGGCAAGGGGGUCAUCCCGACUUACCAACCCGAUGCAAACUGCGAAUACCGGAGAAUGUUAUCACGGGAGACACACGGCGGGUGCUAACGUCCGUCGUGAAGAGGGAAACAACCCAGACCGCCAGCUAAGGUCCCAAAGUCAUGGUUAAGUGGGAAACGAUGUGGGAAGGCCCAGACAGCCAGGAUGUUGGCUUAGAAGCAGCCAUCAUUUAAAGAAAGCGUAAUAGCUCACUGGUCGAGUCGGCCUGCGCGGAAGAUGUAACGGGGCUAAACCAUGCACCGAAGCUGCGGCAGCGACACUAUGUGUUGUUGGGUA